AUGGAGUUUGUGCUGAGCUGGGUUUUCCUUGUUGCUCUUUUGAAAGGUGUCCAGUGUGAGGUGCAGCUGGUGGAGUCUGGGGGCGGCUUGGCAAAGCCUGGGGGGUCCCUGAGACUCUCCUGCGCAGCCUCUGGAUUCACCUUCAGUGACUACUACAUGCACUGGGUCCGCCAGGCUUCAGGGAAGGGGCUGGAGUGGGUCUCACGUAUUAGUAAUGGUGGUGGUAGCACAUGGUACGCAGACUCCGUGAAGGGCAGAUUCACCAUCUCCAGAGAGAACGCCAAGAACACACUGUAUCUUCAAAUGGACAGCCUGAGAGCUGAGGACACGGCUGUCUAUUACUGUGCGAGAGACACAAAUGGAGCCACUUAUGAAGCUGGG